GCGAACGGGAUUAGAUACCCUGGUAGUCCACGCCGUAAACGAUGUCGACUUGGAGGUUGUGCCCUUGAGGCGUGGCUUCCGGAGCUAACGCGUUAAGUCGACCGCCUGGGGAGUACGGCCGCAAGGUUAAAACUCAAAUGAAUUGACGGGGGCCCGCACAAGCGGUGGAGCAUGUGGUUUAAUUCGAUGCAACGCGAAGAACCUUACCUGGCCUUGACAUCCACGGAAUUCGGCAGAGAUGCCUUAGUGCCUUCGGGAACCGUGAGACAGGUGCUGCAUGGCUGUCGUCAGCUCGUGUUGUGAAAUGUUGGGUUAAGUCCCGCAACGAGCGCAACCCUUAUCCUUUGUUGCCAGCGAGUAAUGUCGGGAACUCAAAGGAGACUGCCGGUGACAAACCGGAGGAAGGUGGGGAUGACGUCAAGUCAUCAUGGCCCUUACGGCCAGGGCUACACACGUGCUACAAUGGCGCAUACAAAGAGAAGCGAACUCGCGAGAGCAAGCGGACCUCACAAAGUGCGUCGUAGUCCGGAUCGGAGUCUGCAACUCGACUCCGUGAAGUCGGAAUCGCUAGUAAUCGUAGAUCAGAAUGCUACGGUGAAUACGUUCCCGGGCCUUGUACACACCGCCCGUCACACCAUGGGAGUGGGUUGCAAAAGAAGUAGGUAGCUUAACCUUCGGGAGGGCGCUUACCACUUUGUGA
rnacentral:rRNA from 1 species